rnacentral:rRNA from 1 species
UACGAGGGGGGCAAGCGUUGUUCGGAAUUAUUGGGCGUAAAGGGUGCGUAGGCGGUCUGAUAAGUCAUCUGUGAAAUCUAUGGGCUCAACCCAUAGUCUGCAGGCGAAACUGUCGGGCUUGAGUAUGGGAGAGGUGAGUGGAAUUUCCGGUGUAGCGGUGAAAUGCGUAGAUAUCGGGAGGAACACCGGUGGCGAAGGCGGGUCUCUGGGCCGAUACUGACACUGAGAAGCGAAAGCGUGGGGAGCGAACAGG